rnacentral:lncRNA from 1 species
UUGGAGUGUCGGGAUGAGUUUGAAAUUGGCUGUUAGUGCACAGCAAUAUUGAUCCUAAUCUUUAACAUUCUUCUACUCUGACUUAGCUGUAUGUAAACAUGGACAACGCGCUGCCAUCUACUUCCAUUAUAAAAAGUGAAGCCAAAAUCCUACUGCAUAUUAUGUUGGUGACAUAUAUUUGAUCAAUGACAUGCAGAGGCGAUCUGGUGGGUUGAAGUUCAAGGACUCUGGUGUUAGCGUCAAUGAUCUGCCAUAAUCGAUGGUGUAUUUUUGACCUAUACCACAGCUGACCACCAGGGGGAGCUUGAUAAGUUUUUGCUUCACUUUAGGAAACUGUUGUAUCAUCUGUAGUUUAAAUAGACUGAUCACAAUAUAGAGACUUGUACUCACUUCAGCAAAAGUACGAAAAGUACAAAACCAAAAGGUGAUUUGGUUGGUUAUUUGGUCCACACUGUACAGUUCUCUUAAAACAGUUGAGUGGUGAAGUCACUUGACAGAAACUGUUUGUUCUGAAAUCAAACAACACUUCAUAAAUAUCUGCGCGGACUUGCCUUCAGUUCCCCUGGUAUCCAAAAGAGGCAACUCAGAGAGAGACGGAUGCUUUCAGGCAUGCAUUAUUCACGGCUUUAAUUCCACAACCCUACAAAAAAAGAGAGAAAACACAGGAGUUUGUGUUUAUUUUAUUUAUCUCUCAAAUCCACAAAUAGAUAGCUGCAAAAUGUUCCUCCUUAAAAAUUUAUGAUGAGGCUUCAAAUGGUGAACCCUCGCUCACGGUGCCCUGAAAGUGUUAUGACCAAUAUCUGGGCAGGUUUUCAUCUGGAGUCCUACACUUUGAGGAGGAAAGAAGGACUAAAGAGAAAAGAAAACAGAGCUUUUCAUUUCUGGGCUUUUUUAAGGGUGUAAAAUAAAACAUAAUCAGGAGGAAUUCUCAGGAAUUUUGAGCCUAUUCUUGAGUAAAUAAGACAUGAGAACCCUUGAAUUAUUAGUCAGACAGUGCUACACAACACCGACUUCUUUAUACUGUCAAAAAAACUGAGCUCUCGCCUCAGAAAGUGCUUCUUUAUUCAGUAAAAAUGGGCGUUUAAGGUCGGGACGCUCCAAAGUGCGUCAUUCCCAUUUGAAUUCCAUAAACGUUAAAAAACACUCAGAACACUGUCAAUAUUUGGCACGGUUUACGCAGAACAGUUAAACAUGGGAUCACAGAUUUAGUGGUGAAUGAUGCCAAGUUGUUUUGCCAAAGAAUAGCAGAGCUAGCACCACCAGCCUUCAAUUCUCUUUGCUAGUAUGCGUCCUCAUACAUGCGCUAGCUACAGAUUGCUACACACAACUUGAUCUUCAUUUUCUAGAUGAAAAUAUUGCCAAUCUGUGCAGAAUUAUUUACAUCUGGAUUUUAGUGCUUGAUGGCAUCACGGUGGUAGCCAUAUAUUGCAGCAACAGCCCAGAUUACACGAGUACAAACUACAGAUGUUAAUCAUUUCUUUAGACAAUGAGUGACUCCUUAAAUCUUCCGUUGACUACACAUUACAAAUUUUAAGUCACUGAUGAGACCCAGUUCCUUUCUGUCGACCCAAAACUGUAAACCUUUGAUAUUUUGUUUUCAUAUUCCAAGAUUAAAGGACAAACAUUUAAGGUUCAGAGUGUCCGCUUUAUGAGCAGUGAGGCGACCAGCCUAGCUUAGCACAAAGACUAAAAACAGAAGAAAAGCUCACAAAAUGUUCAGUCAAGUCCAAAGUUUCACCAAAACAUAUAAAUUCAUGUUGAUUUUGACAUCAAGUUAAGGUUAAACGGUAAAUGAACAACUGUUUAGGAGGUUUUAUCUUAUGAAUACAUCAUGACGAACGCUAAACUCAAUAACACACGGAUUUACUUAGCCUACAAGCGUCUACAUCAUAUCUCCUACAAUUCAGAAACUCAUGUUUCAUGUUGAGUGGGUUAUUUUGAUUAAAAUUAUCUUAUUAUUUCAGUGUCAAAGGUGAGGUAGGCUGGAUCUGAGGAAGUGCCAGUAUUUGGGAGAAAUCUUGAAUGUAAACACUACCCAACAGUUUUCCCCUCAGCUCCUCCUCUCCCCUCCCUCUCUGCUCCAGCAAGCCCCGCCCACAAACAGACGCUCCUGCUCGCUCGUAUCGUUCCAAUUAAAUUCAGAUAUAAUGCAGAUAAAUACUUCAGAUAAUUACAAAUGGAUCCCAGUCAACCCCACCUUUAACACAUCAUGGAUCUGAGCGAUGUUAGUCUGCUGAAAUAUGGUUUUACAUUCCAGUUGCUUGGUAUGGAAUACAGAUUCAUCAGUUUUAGUCUCUUCUGCUGUGGCUGCAGGUAGUUUAGCUUCAAUCAUCUAUUAGAAUGUGCAUUUCUUUGCACACCAGAGAUUUAAACUCUUUGUUUGCAGAUCUACAGAUACGUCACCCUCGCAAAUGGAGACAAGGUGUUUGGGAAGGUUUAAGUGAGGCUUAGCCAAAUGUGCUCUGUACUAUCUAGGGGUAUUUUUUUUACUCUAAACCGCUUUAUUAUCAAGACUUGUAGCCACAAACUGUGAGCCAUCAGGGAGUCCUUUGUGAAGCCUCCAGGUGUUUUACAGAGCCAGGCUAGCUGUUUCCUCCUGCUUCCAGUCUGAAUGCUAAGCUAAGCUAAUCACCUCCUGGCUGCAAGUCCAUCCUGAUAUGAAUUUCCUUUUAAAACAACGACCUAAUCUCAAAUUUGCAAGAAAACAGCAUGUAAUCGACUGCAGAAGUUCAAAAACAUCAGUUUCUGGAGUAUCUGGAGUAUCUGGAGUGCUGUCCUGUAUUGUUGUUUUUUCCUCUCAGGACAUUUAUCACUCUGACAUUGAGUACAAGAAAAAAAUUAAAUAAAUAAGAGAUGAGCCGGUCAAAGCUGCAUUUCAAACUCAAUUGUGUUUAAACUCACUCAUACUGGGGAUUUUCAAAGGCAUCCCUUCAUGUGGAGCGAAGCACUCUCCAAAAAAAAGGGAAGGGGAAAAAAAAAACGCUUUGAGAUUUGGGGGGAAGUGGCUGAACAGAUUGUUAUGUCACCAUUAGGGAGCUGUAAUAAAGUCAUAUUUCUUUUGCAUUUUGCAUGACUGGAGGGCCUUCCACUCUCGCCUGUCUGCUCCUUUCACAUCAGCCUCCCUUAAGUGGAGCAGUUCUGGGCUGCAGGUUUUGCCUCGCUGCUGCCAGAGAGUGUCUGUGCCGGAUAGCGUUGCAUGAUUACACUCGGCAGCGCACAAUUUUGUCGACAGCGUUAUAGCAGGAGAAUAAAAUAUCUUAGGCCUCAUUAAACGCCCACACAUUCGGAAAUUAGAAACCAGUAAUUCAUCAUUGGGAAGAUAAGAGAGGAGAGAUAAAAAAAUAAGUGUUUUAACCGGUUAUUUACGAGGAAGUAAGCGCAGAUAAGAGCCAGACAUGUGUCAGGAUAUGACUGUAAAUAAAAGCAGAACAGGAAAAAAGGGUGUAAAAGACUUAUGAGAUUAUUAUAACGAAGUAAAGUCUCAUUUCUGGAUCUCCCUGUGGUGUUAAACCCAUAAACACUGCUCCCAUGUGUCAUCCUCUCUGAGUAAAACGAGAAAUGAUUCUGAUCCUGAUAAACCGUGACAAUCAAGUGCAUAAAAUUCAUUGUGUUUCCUCAGAGCUGUAAAACACUAAAGCGGUUCUGACAGAUUAUCUUUCGCCAGAAGCCCGAGCAAACACAACAAUAAUGCUUUCUGCUGUACAUGUGGAAGUGCUACAGCAAAAAAGCACACUGUCAUAUUAAUGCUGCUCUGUUUUUAAGUGGCAUCCUGAGUAUGAGGCCCAAAAGUUUGCUUGGUGGCUCAUAAAUAAUUCAGCAGCUGAUGAAUUAAUAACAAAUCCUCAUUGUCAGCUGGUGAAAUUAUGAGGCAGCAACCACAGUUUUAUGGGCAAUUUCCUCUCUCUGCAGCUCUAGGGUGGAUUUGAUUGUUUAUCUAAGACUAAAUGAGUGACAUUUAAAGUGAAAUUAAGCUAAACUAGGAUGGGGACAAAGUCAGAAACAUGAAAACUUUAACUUUCAACAUGUGCAGGAGAACAACAGUGGGCAAAGAUGUAAUAAAGACGAUUGUGGAGCCACUUCUUUGACCUUUUUUGAAAACUGGAACAUGCUGCCUUAACAUUACAAGAACAAAUCUUACGUAAUGAUCCUUUAAGGUUCACUGUUUAGCACAGAGUGCAUAGCUCAGGCCUCUGGUGGUCACACAGAUUUUAAAAGCAACAGCUUUCCAGAGCUGCAUUCCAUCCAGAAAACUAACCGCACAAGCCUGUUGAAGUUAAAACAAGUUGUAUUUUGAAAAGUUACUUCAGGUGGGUUUUAAAGGGAUAUUCCAACAUAAUAUUAAUUUAGGGUCAAACACAGCGCAACACCGAUUUAGACACCCCCUCAAGAGAUGAAUGUUGCCGACCGCUUGCCUCUCUAGUUAUACCAACUUUAGUAACGACCGCACGAUAGCAAUACACAGCGGUCUGAGGAGCCAUAAACAAACCUCAACCAAAACGCCACUUUAUAGCCACAAAUAAUACUCAGAACAGCACCUAACUUCAUCAACAUAAAUGCUCUACCUUGAGCUGCGUCACCCCACAGAAGUCUGUAAUGGACUGGCCUGAGGUCUCGCUACAAAACAAGCGGCUGCUGAAAGAGAGUAGGUGAGUUGUGUUUAGUCUCUUAGCUAAAGAAAUCAGGCAAAGUUAAAAAGAUGUUUAGUAGCUAGUGCUGUGGCUAGGACCCUAUAUGUACUGUUGAUGAAGUUAGGUGCUGUUCUGAGCAUUAUUUGUAGCUAAAGAGUGGUGUUUUGGUUGAGGUUUGUUUAUGGCUCCUCAGACCGCUGUGUAUUGCUAUCGUGCGGUCGUUACUAAAGUUUGUUUAACUAGAGAACAUUCAUCUCUUGGGGGGGUGUCUAACUCAGUGUUACUGUGUGUUUGACACUAAAUUAAUUUUACGCCAGAAUAUCCCUUUAAGUUGUAAAAAUGAAUGAAAAUAACUGCACUUAGCACCCCUAAAAAAACCCUACAUUGUUCUGAAUUUAUUAUAAAUCUCAGAACAUUGUUGUUGUUGUUGUUUGUCUCAGUUCAUCUCUCUCUCUCUUUCUGCACUCCCUCUAUCUCAUCGCUAAAUCAAAUGCAGUGGCGGCAGAUGACUGUCCACCAUGAGUCUGGUUCUGCUUGAUGUUUCUGCCUGUUGAAAGGAAGUUUUUCUUUUUCACAGUAACUUUCUAAAUGCUAUUAAGUGUUACACUCAGCCCUGCGAUGAACUGGCGACUUGUCCAGGGUGUCCCCUGCCUUCACCCUAAGAUGCUGAGAUAGGCUCGAGCCCUCUUACGACCCCCCAACGGGAUAAGUGGUAGAAGAUGGAUGGAUGGAUGGUGAUACACUCAUGUGGAUGAAGAGAAGAAGGUACAAUGGUAAAACGCAGAUUUUUAAGGCAAUAUGGAAGAUUUUUAUAGCCUGGUUCAAAAAGACAUUUCUGUCAAACAACUGUACAUUGUGUUAUAACUAAACCCUGCCUCUAGUUACAUAAUUUUAUCUUUAAAUCUUAGUCUUGAUCAAAAUACCCCCAACUAAAUAAAAAAAUAAGCUCCAUACCAAAAACUAUUCUUGCACCAGGCUGUAAACAUAUUCAAUUCUGCUGGAUAAAUAGGCGUUAAUGUGGCUGUUGAUGGGGUUUCUUUGGGUUUAGCAGCCAAGUCUUUCACACUUUGGCAUCAGCUUUAUUUACAACACUGCAGGUUUCUGGUUUUUCAGAAAGCCUCUCCAGAAACCAACGGGUGAUGCGACUGAGUUUUGUGAUUUACAUAUCAGACGCCGUGCGGUUUUUAUCCGCCAACAGUCGACAGACACUGAUCUAGAUUGACAUAGGCAGACACCAGCUUGGUGCCAUCAGCUGUCAUUCUCAUAUCACAUUCAUCUCCAGCUCUGCAGAUGUAAUGCGUGUCUCUGCUUUUAGGAAGACAAAUGUUUCAGACGGUUAAAAGAAUUGAUAAAACAAGGAGGAGGAUUCACAACUUUGAGCGCUGCUGCGAACAAACGGAUACCCCCUCUGAGCGGCGUGUAAACACGUACAAACCUCUGACUUUAACUCCACAGAUUGUCGUCCAUCCCUCACAGCCUUCCUCUCUUUGAUACAGACUGCUUAAUGAUUCUAAUUAGUGAUGAAAAAUGAACAGUGUCUGGUCUGUCAGGCCUGUAUUUCCCUCUCUGUGAUCCCGAGCUAACUUGUCGAAGGAUUAGAUUACCGUUUCAGUCUCGAGUGUGGGCACUGCUGCUGCUGCUGCUGCCCGGCUCGUCUUUGUGCCUCUCUGGCUUUGAUUUGAGCCAAAAGAGCCACAGGAUACAACUUCCAAGGCAUUAGCAUUCUCAGCAGUCACCCAGAAAAAUGUCAGAUCACGCUAGUUUGAAGUGACAGGGUGCUUAAACUACAGUACACGAGGGUGAGAAACAAGCACCGCAUGCUAACUACAAACACAUUAUGUAAGGAACGACGACGGGCUCUUGGACUUUCAUCUGCUACAGGCUGAGUCUUACCGUAUUUCCCAACAAUAUAGUAUUACGUCUCCCGGCUACAGACAUGCUAAUGCCUCUCUAGCACUGUCAGGCUAUCAUGUGGUUCAGUGCCAAUGGGAAAAUGUGAUGAAUGUCCGAGGGAUUCGUCUCGUGCUAACUCAGGCAAAGCUGAUACGGGUAAACCUCCCGCGCUUAACUCAACCUGGCUGUUUAUCUUCUGCUGUCUUUACAAAAAUGUGUGCAGUAAGAACUUUAAUUUUCAGACAAGACGCCUGAAGUUUUGUUGUGAAAGUCUAAAGAGAAGUUUUUAAAGGCAGCUCUGCCUGAACACAGCAGGAAAGAAGACCGUAACAACUAAAUUACCAAACGCUAUGCAGGAAAUGAGGCUUAACUUCACAUUUUAAUGAAAUGUUUUGAACGUUUAUUAAGUCUAACCAAGAUGUGGGAACUAAUAAGACUGUUUUAUAGCACUACUGCAGGUUUGUUUGGGGCUUUCAUAUAUUUCUAUACUGUAAAACUCAAGUAAUUUACCUGUUUAUAAGUGGGGGUUUAUGUUGCAUUCCAGUUGUACUCAGAAGUUGGAAAUUCUGAGGUCCGAGUCGGAAAUUCAUCUGGAACACCCCCUGAAGUCGGAUAUCUGACUCGGAAAGUCGGACGAUCCUCACCAACCCUGACUUGACGACAACGUUAUAUUACAAGAUGGCGACGCAGUGCAUCAACAGUAAGGAGUAACAGUAAAAGCUCUCGUAAUGUAUUAUUUUUAGCACUUCUGUUUUGUGUUUGCGAACAAAUAGUGCUAUGGUGUUUGUAAGAGUAAGAUACUGUGUUAUGCGUUGUUUACCGCUGGUAUCGCUAACAACAACUGACAACAACUAACAACCGCUAAUGACGGCUAACGGCAGCUGACAAUUGUAAACAACAGCUAACAACGGCUAACAGUACGGUCAUUCCCAGCUCUGACAUCCAACUUCUGAGGUAACUGAAAUGCAGCAAUAGACCUUAAGAGUUUUCUAUGCGUGACUCUCUCUUUAACGAUGAUGCUAAAAUACAAUGAAAGUAAAAUGACAAAGUCCAAAACACUUUGGGAUAACAUUAGGUACUCAGAUGGCGAGCUGGUAGACAUUGAGUGAAUUUUGUGUUUCUGACUGAUGAUGUCAAGAUUCUGUUUUUGAGCACAAAAAACUUGUUGGUUAGCUUACACAAAAUUUGGUUGUGUAAGCUCCCAAACUUUAAAAAUCUGUAAACUUUUAAUCUACUUUUCUUGAAAAGUAAAAUGAAUCACUUGUUUUUAUCUUAGCUGUGAGAAAACACUCAACGAGCUGUGUGAUGUUAAGAAUAAGAAUAAGAACUUUAUUAAUCCCCGAAGGGAAAUUCACUUGGUUAAAAAUCUAUGCCAUGCCAUUUGUUGUUGUUAUUUGUUAUUUUUAAACUAAAUAGAAAUCAUCAUGCAUCUCUUUAACAUUCUUUUUUGUUGUUUUAGGUCAUAAAGAGGCAUCAAGUGCUGAUUUCAGGUUGUUUCAUGACUGUCUAAAAACUCCUUACUGGAGCUUUAAAGCUUGUUUCAUCUAUUUCUUUCAUGUUUUUUCGAGGCAAAAUCAGUUUUAAGUAUAGGUGAGGCAACAUAUAAUCGUUUAUGUAUGGCAGUCCAGGACUAUUCAAUACAAUUAUUGCACUGUUGAUGCCAAAUAAAAAUGUCUAGAUUAAAAUAUAGUAUGUUUCUAUAGUAUGUCACUUCUUCAUGACUUCUCACAGUGGCACCAGUGAUGUUAAUCCUGCACUUUAUAAUUUAGGGGAUAUGUUGUAUUUUGCAGUAGAUCAGAUAUUAUGAUGCAUUAUCAUAUCAACGCCUUGUAGUUCAUCAAUUUACCCAGAAUCAAUUACUGUUAUCAUGGGCUCUGUUUAAUGCAUCGAUAAUCAUAUUAUGUUGUGUUGUGCCAUGUCGUGUCAUGCAUUUCGUAUCUUGUCGUGUCAUGACGUAUUUUGAGUAAUCAAGGUGUGGCAUGUCAUACACUAUUGUCUCCUGUAGUAACGCACUAUACUCUAUGGUGGUCUGGCCUGUCAUGUCAUGUUGUCUGGCAUCAUAAAGUUUCCUAUCGUAUAAUAUCAGAUCGUAUCGCAUCGUAUCAUAAUCCAUUGUAACAUAUUGUAACGUGUCGUAUCAUAGCGAGAUAUUGCAUGGGGUGUCGCACACUAUUGUAUCAUAUCAUACUGUACCAUACUGUGUCCUAUCCCAUCAUGUUGUGUGGUAUUGUAUCUUAUCCGCUUAUUUUAUAUUUGUUUCCCAUUGAAUCAUAUUGUAUUGUGUUGUGUCGUAUCAUGACUUGGCAUGUCGCACUCUAUGGUAUCAUACUGUCAUAUUGUACCCUAUGGUGCCCUGUCAUGUCAUGUCAUGUUGGGUGUUAUUGUAUCGUACCAAUAGUUACCCUGUAAGUGCCACCCGAUCAUGCGAGGCCACCAGCUGUAAUUUCACAAAACUUUAGAGGACUUUUCAGCCUGGUUCCAUCUGUAAGACGCCUUUCAUGCAGACUUUGCAUGUUCUUAAUCCCGCUGAUAGACAAAACAAAAGGGUUUUCCAUAAAUCUGUAUGGAACUUAUUCUCUUUGCCUUCUUCGCCACCAAAUUAAGUCCUAUUGGAACGACGGGUAUCUGAUUUCUCUUCUUACUCGUGACCGCUCUUUCCACAAAGUUUCAUGACAUUUUGAAACAUCCUGUUUACAGGCUGAGUGGGCUGAAAACAGAGCCCCUGACUGACUCCAAAUGGGGAGAGUAAUUUGGCAUAAUUGCAGCGUGGGUGAAACCUUUGAAGACCCAGUUUGUGUUGUGACUGAAACAAUGAUGAUUAGAGCUCGCUCAAGUGUCAAUUGCGAUUAAGAGAAAGACCUCUUAGAAAAAGCAGAUCUCUCAAUCAUGCAAGACUUAUUAUCCCCUAUAUUUGUUCUGAAAGUUCCCAAUUUUUUUACUUCUAUAAGGUACAAGACAGACAGAGUUGUGUUCACUCGCUAAUACAACUAUUUAGGCUUCAAUUUGCACAUUAUAAAGAACAACUAGGAUUGUGAUCAGCUACACAAAUGAGUCUAAAGUCUAUAUUUACACCGUAGCUGCAGGGUAAACCAGUUUCAGUGAGAAACAAUAUACAGUGUGCGCUCACUUGAGGCUAAAAAGGCUACCGCUAACACCACAUGAUAUAGAUUACCUUUAGGGAGACCUGGGCGCCCAUUAACACGGCUGUUUGAUCUCAAUGGCACAAAUUGAUCCAAGGUGAAGAAAAUGUUGCGUAAUUAUGAUUGAUGAUGACAAGAAGGGGAAAUGAUUCGUGCCUUUACAUUCUCAGGGAGAAAGUAGUUCCUUCCAAACUUCACGGUCGGAAGCUGUUGUUCAGGAAGCAGUAAUGAAGUGUGGAGGUUCAGCUGAUGAGGGGUUAAAGAUCUGCUGUGUGUUAGGCCACAAAGAGGCAACUAUUAAUGGGAGUAGAUUGUGGUUAUCGUGGUCCGAACUUUCUAGUUUGCGCCGUGCAUUUUACGAUAUAUUACUGUCACUCUGGUCUAAACUUUCAAUAACAUUACAAGCUGCAAUCAAACCAAUACUGAACUUCAGAUCUACAUUCUAAUAAGUCAAACUCAUAAAUAUCUAAUAACAAAAAUAUUAAUUGCAGAUUCGAACAAAAUUUUAUAAAGUUGAUAUUCAAGCACAUUUACCAACUUAGCGGCAAUUUUUUACCAAACAACAGAAAUGCUGUAAAAUAUUAAAUUAAUCACAACCUGUUUGGUCAUCAGAUAAUCAUUAAGAAAAAUUUCAGAGGAAUUAGACUCAAAAUUAUCUUAUUCCAGUCUGUUUCACUAUGUUCUUGGACCAUUUUUCCCUUCAUUACAAAAGUGAUAGCUGUCAAAGUUGGCUUUUUGGCGCCCCCUAUGGACCAAGCAGUACUUUAUAUUUCUUCACUGAUCUUGUCUUAUACAUGUGCAACUUGUGUUUGCUAACAGAGCUGUGAAUGCUUGUGUUUUAGAUACAAGUCAGAAAGUUGUUUAGCCAUUAGCUCCUGUUGUUGCUAGCAUUGUACGCUAAAUCCAGACGAUAGCAACAUACUUGAUGACAUAAGAAUAUAUACAGAUAAAACUUGCAUAAUACUAUUGGCAUGAUUAAUUUUAUUACACAAACAUCCAAAAAUUAAAUUUUAAACACCGACACUGUAUAUUACUCAGGUUUAGCUGUGGGAUAAAGAUAGAACCAACAUUGUUUACAAGGAUUAAAGUACUAUAUAGACAUAAUCAGUCCUCUUCCCAAUGUUUGUUUUUGAGUCUUAUGCUCAUAAAUCGGUGUCAAUGUUAUUUCAAGUGUGUUUUAUAACUGGCAAAAUUUCCUUACAGGAGCUUUAAGUUAACAUUAACAUGCUAACAAGUACAAAGUUUAGCAUGUUUGCAUGCUGGUAGCUAUUUUCCUCAAAGUCUUAUGGUCCUUACACAAACGCCAAUAUUUUUUCUCGAACCCGUAUCCUGUCAAUACAAGUGUUCACAUCAGCGAUGUUUUCCCGUCCUGCGAUAUUGCGGCAUUUGUUUUUUCGUAUCACGGUCGAAUUUUCUAAAGUUUUGCAUACUGUGUGUCCACUUCUGACCAAUCAGAUUUCGUGUUGUUGCGACAUCCGAUCCACCGGUAUAUCCAACAUGGCUGACCAACUGAUUGUUUACGUGUCGGAGAACAGAGUGCUUUUUGAUAAAAAACACAAAUAUUACAAAGAUAAAGACCUGAAGGACAACUUGUGGAGAGUCACAGCAUUGGAUUUCUCAUAUGACGAUGGUUUGUUUGCUUUAACAGUUUGCUAAACGUCUUUGUUUUAACUUUCAUCUGUGCUAAGUAACUUUAGCUUGUAAGCUAACCUGUUCAGAUACAACAUACCAUAUGUAUUUUCACUGUCUCAAACUCAAUCACAGCGUUGCUGUCACAGCACCAUUAGGUCUUGGUUGUUACCUUACGUUUAUGGAUUAUAAUUUAAUGUGCUUAUCUGGUACUGGCCCCGACUCAGUACAUGCUAUCAUCAUUCCUGGUGUGUAAGGACCUUUAAUGUGGUCAAGACAAUUUGUAUUUCAUUUUGCAUAUGUUCAGUUCUUGUACAAUCAAUUACAUAUUACCAUGGGGACAAAAAUGACAAGUUCUUAGUGGGGUUAUUGGACUUGUAGAAUCAAUAAUCUGAUCUCAGUGCUGUGAAAAUCAGUUUAACAUGUUUAAAGAGUGAUAAAUUCAACAGUUCUUGAGAUGCUCUCUAUUUUGGAAAAUUCCCAGGGCUGUUAGUAAGGCUUGAAAAUAAGUCUGCGUUAGCCAACUUAAAGGCUACACUUACUCUAAUUCCUUUAAGUGUCUCACACGUUUCUGUACAGCAACAUCAGCAUCACACUGACAGUAUAUGUGUGAUAAAUCUGGGCGACGCUCCGGACACCAAUGACAAUUUAAGCUUCAUGAAUGAACUGGAUUCACUGUUUGUGUAGGCAAUUGGCGAUAUGGAGCACACUGAAGCGCACACAUCGUACACGCGUUAGGAUAUUCAGGCUGGAGGCCAAACAUUAGUGUGAAGAAGAGCAUAUUUCAUGAAGCAUCCUGCCUGUUCAUAAAUACAUUUAAGUCCACACACAGUCGCUCCAGUUGCUGUGUAAGCUACUAACCUCUUCCUUGUUACAUCAAGACAAACAAGUCUAUUUAUGUUAUAGUGUCAGUUUUUUUUCUGUUUCCUGCUACCUGACUGUCUCGGGAGGGAAAUAAUGUCAGCAGCCUGACUCUGUGACAUAUUUACAAAUGAAAAAACAUGUUAGAGAGAAAGAAAAAUCCACGAUUGCUUUUCAUUCUUCCCCACAGAGACCCGGGCCGUCAACAUUUCGCUCCGACAGCCUCAAUUGAGCAGGAAAGAUUUUUAUGAUGGCGGGGCAUCUGUGACUCAGUGUCUAGAAUAACUCGCUAAAUAAAGAAUAAAAGCAAUCUGCUCUCGUUUCACUCAGUGCACCUUCCCCGUCCCUGUUGCCAGGGGGAUGACCGAACGCAUUUCAUAUGCAGCCGCCGCGCUUCACUGCCUCCUGAGCACAGGAACAGAAUCGUGUUCCACUUUAAAGAUGUUAAUUUUACAUUUUUAAUGACCGGGGCUGAUGGCUUAAGUAAGUGAGUAGCACUUACGAGGGAAAGAUGUUCUGGAAAUCCUCCCCCACACAUCUCAGAAUUCCUCGUCCUGGAUGAAAUUAUCUGUCCUGUUGAAUCGAGGACUAGGGACGUGGUUUUAUUUACAGAGUAUGACUUCAAAAAUGUGCCUUUUUUUUCUGACUCACUCUCCUCUUUUUUUAUGCAAUUGUUUCACUCUCUGCACAUCACGUGUAAGCUUUCCUGCAGUGGAAUCCAGUCAAGGAGAUUCCUCAAUUUCAUGGCUGAUUAGCCUGAUGCCAGGAUUAUCUCUUGUUAUUUUAAGGCAGAUAAUACAAGAUUAUGACCUUAAUGGGAUCUGUGAAAUCAGCUGGAAAACACUGGGGGCCUUUCUCAAAGAAAUAUCUGCAAAAUAGAGUUCAUGCUAGUCAAAGAACGAAGUGGUGAGGUGAAGUAUUUGACCAAGAGUCAGUAUCUGAAGGGACUAUUUGACACUGAAAGACUCGAUGUGCCGCAGGAGCUCGGUGAGAAAAAAAAAAUACACCGCUUUUGAGUCAAACUCAUCUGCUUUUUUUUUUAACACCUUCAUAUUUUUCCUGCACAUAAACCCUCCUGAGGGCGAGCUAGCUUUCCCAGAGUGAGGACGAGAGGUUUCAGAUCGGAGCUAAGUGGUUUGUAGCAUAAACUGGGCUGCUUUUUUAAGGUAAUUAGCUUGUGCUCAAUGCUGUCAUAUCCAGAAGUGCAACUGCUUUUGAAAAAACAGGGCAAGAAAACAAGCGGCCGGGCCUCCCCAGGGUCAGCGCCCACCGCAGCCUGGAUUAUGGCACCAAAGGAAUCCUGGGAAGCGUGUAUUGAUUUGGCCUGACACUUGCUGCCACAUUUAGCUUAGCCGCCGCUGACUCGCAAAGGCUUCAAGCAGUUAUCUGCCAUAUUCUCUACUAUCUUUAAAGAGCACUGAGAAAUUACCUCAUGCCAUAGAAGAUUUAUCAUCACAUAAUUAGCUCGGUGCAGCUAGCGGCAGAUCUCUUUUGACUACUAAUACAAGCUUAAAGUUCAUGUGCACAGGACUAUGCUUAAUUAACUUGUUAGCAUGAGCAUGCUGGGACGACAUGCUGGCCUCCACAAACUGCAUUUGUUUUACAGAUUGUCUGGGUGCUGUGCAGCACGGUGAUGUCUGAAAUCUGCUGCAUGUUACAGCGAACACCGAGACAUCAGGGUGGAAAAAUAAGAGAGUGAACUUCCUCUAACCUUGAUGCUACAACACAGUCUAAUAAAGCUGCUAGGAGCACCUGGCAUGAUGGCGGGCAGGACAAACAAUUAAAAAACAGACAAAGGAACCCCUGAAAGAUAGUUUUCAUGUGCAAACAGGAUCAUACGCAACUGCUUCACGAGCCAACUUAAAAAAUAUCUCAUGAGCACAACAUGCAAACUUGUAUGUUUGGGGCUUCCCGAUUCCUCAUCAUUUCCUCUCUUUGUCAUCACAAACCCGGUCUGCAUGAAAACCGGUCCUUCAAAAUGUAUUUGUGUUUGCGCACAAGUUGUGCGUCAUGUAAAUUCCACGAGACAGAGUUGUUGAUUGAAGCUCAGGCCUCGUCCACACAUCAGCGGAAACACGGUUUGAAAACACAGAAUCUUCUCUUCGUUCUGGGCCCGAGUCCACACGGAAAGGGAGUUUUGGAAAAUGCUUCCCGUGGAGAUUUUUAAAAACUCGGUCUAAUCUAUAUUCAUGGGGACAGCUGGAACGAAGGAAUACGGAAACUAUGAUGUCUUAACUUGUGAUCGUUUGUUAUGUGUUGCGCAUGUGCCAAGAUGGCCGCUAUUGGUUCACUUCAUCAUUAUAUCAUAUUACAGGGUAAAUAAAUACUGUAUAAUAAUCACUAGUGUUCAGUUCACCAGUGUGUACACUGUUUAUAAUAGCGAUUUGCUCAUUUAGACACCCAAAAACAAGCUUCUGUGGUGGUUGUUUUGAUGGACUAAUUACACAUUAUCGCCCCCUGCUGGUCUGGCAUACUAGUAUGUUCAUUUUCAACCUUUUAAGCUACUACUGUACUACUUGUAUAGGCAAUUUUUGUUCCUUAACAUUAGAGGAAAUACAUAUAGUUUUAAAUCUUAAAUUAGUAGUCGACUAAUUAAAAUAUAAAAUCCACCUUAAGUCUUUAGAGUUUUUGCUUUUUCUUUCAUGUUUGAUCAGCCAUGGCUUUCAAGAAGGGCCAGUAUUGAUGGUAAUCAUCUAUUAAAUUACCAAUUUUUAUAUUUUGCAGGGUAAUACCAUAACGUGAAAGCUAUUUGUGAGAUGAUUUAGUACUUUAAAAAACUAAAAUUUCAUGAUUGUUUCUGCAAAUCUAAAUGCAGUCCUGGUUUCAAGACUUGUCUGAUUUUGUUAGUCAACAUAACAGGAUCCAAAUCAAUGCUAAUCCACUCUACUUGUAACCUAAUUGUAUGCCUGUUAACCAAUAUGAACAGUCUCGACAUCUACUUACGGGUUUUCUUGGUUUCCAUGGUCUUCCUCACAGUUUGUAACCUCUUUCGAUGAACCGCACUCUUGGUCUGACUCCCAGAGAGGAAAACUGGCCUCCACUUGUGACAAAAUUGGUCUUUUUAGGUCCUUUUUUCAUGCAAACUGACCAGACCGUACCUGCAAAGUAAAGUAAUGAGAUUAGGUUCAAAGGGAGCUCAAGUUUAGACUCCUUGAAAAGCUAAUGUCUCAAAAACCAGAGGAAUCCAAUACAAUCACUAUACUAUACAAGCUAACAUUACUAGCAUGUAGCAUACAAGUUAGAUUGGACCAUACAGCUAAAGUAUUUAAUGCCAUCAUAAACUAUUCAUUUUGAUUGAUUUACCUAUUGAACGUGUUUUGACUUGCAUAAAGAUGCCACAAACACAGGAUUUAUAGCUUAAGUUAAUAUGUUGCACCUGUAUAUGGGCCUCAAACACAUAGAAAAAACAACAAUAGAAAAAACAAGUGACAGAGUAAUCACGUGAAUUACAGGAAGAAAAUACUCCUCCACCACUGAGCUCUAUCUGUUGACAUUUUUAAGGUUAUGUGUUGCACUAGCAGCCGUUUUUAAGCCCCACACUCUGUAACAUUGUAUUCUUUAAUGUUCAGUGAAAUUUAACACGGUGUCAUGAGCAAAUUUGACUCCUCACAUGGCCGGUGUUCACAUUUCUACUCAGCUGUAAACAUCUCAUCAGCCUGUGUUGUGGCUCUGUGUGAUUCUGGGCAAACACUCUGAGCAAAGAGCAACUUUUCGCAAAUAUUCAGCUGGAAUCUCGAACACUUUACCCUUUGGAACGCCCAUUGGCUUUAAGUGGCCAAAUGCCAUCUUAUUUUAUUCAUGUCCUGCACCCUCCAGUCUGGCACUCUCUCCAAGCUAAAGCCUCACCCUCCCUCUCUCUUUCCUCUCUACAGCUGUCAGCCAGAUCUCAUUUCUCUUUUUUCAUCGCAGCGUUUUCCAUUUAAUUUAAUUCUCUGGGUAACAGUUGUAACAUCAUACGGCAUCCUCCUCUUCUUCUUCUGCAUCUCUGUCAGAUACAAAUGCAGUUGUGGGACCAAGCUGGAUGAAAUGGGCAAAGACAGCUUCACAACCGCCAGGGGUGUUAUUCUAAGAUCAGGCUGGAAUCAGAAGUUUUGUCGGUUUCAGUUAACCAGGGCGCUGCUAAAUGGCUUAAGCCAAGCAUCACUGCACUCGGCGAGGGCUCCCAGAUAUUGCAGCAUGACAGCUAAAGUAGCUGGGUGCAUCAUGGACAUGUACCCAGCCUAAAGAGCCCUCGGGCUUUCUCUUCUCCAUGACUGACUUUUAAGUGUUUUAUCCCUGGGACACGGCGAUAAUGUGCAUUAAGAUCAAGAACACUUAUUUCAAUUGUGCUUUAUGUUUUAUUCUGGCUUUAAAGUCGGCAGCGUCUAGACUAGGCUUUGCUGAGAAUAGCUCACAAGGGAGGAUCCCCUGCUGUUACUUUAAGUAUGCUAACAUUAGGUUUCACUCUUUAAUUUGCCAAGAAGGAAUUAGUGCUAAUGGUUAAAAAGACACGGCGACAGGGGUAUAACUCCUCACACCAGUGUUUGUUUAAAAGCAGAAAUGCACAAGUACAGGAUAACAUAUUUACUGGAUAGACGCUGUAAUUCAAAAGUGAAAUAGAGAGCAUUUACAGAGAAACGUAUUGGCUCAAUAAACUCUUCAAAGCAGGGGUGUGUCCAGAGAGGUAGUCAGGGGUGCCACAGUCCCCUGAGCUAAUUGGCCACCCAAGGUGCCAGCUUGAAGCUUUAUUCAUAUCUAAAUGCUGCCAUUUAAGUGGCGAACUCAUUUCAGUGCUAAAAUCAACACAAUCAAAAAGUUCUGCACAGGAGCUUUAAUUUAUCAGUAUUCCGAAAUUUAAAGGGAUAUUCUGGUGUAAAAUUAAGUUAGGGUCAAACACAUUAUAACACCGAGUUAGACACCUUGUUGAGAGAUGAAUGUUGCCGACCGCUUGCUUCUCUAGUUAUACCAACUUUAGUAACGACCACAGAUAGUAAUACACGGCGGUCUGAGGUGCCAAAAACAAACCUCAACCAAAACGCCACUCUAUAGCCACAAAUAAUGUUCAGAACAGCACCUAACUUCAUCAACAGUACAUAUGGGGUCCUAGCGAUAGCACUAGCCACCAAACAUCUUUUUAGCUUUGCCUGAUCUCUUUAGCAAAGAGACUAAACACAACUCACCCACUCUCUUCCAGCAGCCGCUUGAGACCUCAGGCGAGUCCAUCGACUGCAGCGGGGGGAUGCAGCUCAAGGAAGAACAUUUAUGAUCAUUACUUUAUCAUUUCCUUGAAGUAAUAAUCACCAUAUUAAUCAUUUUACACUGCAGACGUGGUAGUUCUUUUGCCUCAGCAUCUCAGUCUGAUUGCAUUUCUAUGAGGCAAAGAUCAUAUAUGUUCUUCCUUGAGCUGCGUCCCCCCGCUGUAGUCUGUAAUGGACUGGCUUGAGGUCUCCGUACAAACAAGCAGCUGCUUGAAGAGAGUAGGUGAGUUGUGUUUAGUCUCUUUGUUAAAGAAAUUAAGUAAAGCUAAAAAGAUGUUUGGUGGCUAGUGCUGUGGCUGUGACCCUAUAUGUACUGUGAUGAAGUUAGGUGCUGUUCUGAGUAUUAUUUGUGGCUAUAGAGUGGCAUUUUGGUUGAGCACGUGGCUCUCUGUAUUGCUGUCUUCGGUCAUUACUAAAGUUGGUAUAACUAGAGAAGCAAGCGGUCUGCAACAGUCAUCUCUAAAUGGGGUGUCUAACUCGGUGAUACAGUGUGUUUGGCCCUAACUUAAUUUUACACCGGAAUAUCCCUUUAACAUCUGUGUGAUUAUACAACAUUAUUUGUUAUUCAUUCAUUAUCUUCAUCACAGGGGGUGGAGCCUAUAGCAGCUGUUAAUCGGUGAGAGGUGGUGGUUGGGCACACCCUAAACAAGUUGCCAGCCUAUUACAAGGCCUACAUGUUAUUUAGAGUAACCAAUGAGCUUGAUAAGCAUGGGGACAUUAGUGAGGAUAUAAGUUUUAAAAAUAAUAUUGAGUAAUUAAUUGGUCCAUGUGCCACCCCUGCAUUAGUCCAAACCAGUCAGAAAGUCUUUGCAUGCCCCUGCUUCAAAAACACCAAACCAUUUAUUCUCAGUAGGUCCCUGUUGGACCUAAAAUUCACUCAAUAAGGUUUGCACAAAUCAAAUUUAUUUAUUUCCUAGAGAAAGACUAAAUAAUUUCCUGAAACAGAUGCACACUCCAGAUGACUCAACAGAAUUAAAUAGUGAGUGUAUUGUUCCGCACUAUUUUCAGAAGUGGAUUUGUGCUCUGCUGGGUAUUUACAGCUGCAGGACAGUGGAUGUGAGUCAACUCAAAACAGUCGCUUUAUUAAUUUUAAUGGACAAACCAGGCAUUCAGGAGUAAUGUAGAUUUAUGAUUUCUUUUAAAUAUUUUGUAUAACAACGGAGCACAAUAGUACAGAGAACAUAUCUGUGUUAUGGCCAUUACACAAACAGCACUUGUUAAAGGAUCAGUCACUCUUGGUUUUGUAAAGAUGACAAGAAAUGUGCUUUUUAAGUUAUCUUAUCAAAUGUAAGUAUCAGUUUCACAACAAAGAUGUGGCAUGAGCCCCAACUGAAAUCUGAUUUGUCAGCCCAGGUGCCACCCCAAAUUUUAAUCUAUGAUUGGCUGUUGUCACACGAUAAACAAGCUUAUAUUAAAUUCAGAUACUGGACUGCAUAGCAACACACUGCGCAUCCAUUGCAAUAAAAUAGAAUAACUUAUUGGUACAUUUUUGACUUUGGACAUACCUCCUCUGUUUUAGACCCUAAAAAAUUACAAUUAUGAUUUAUAUGUUGUGCCAUUGUUGUAUUAUUUAAUUGGAAAAAGCUUGAUUACACAAAGGCAUAAUUUAAUAGUAGUAGUUACAGUUCAUUUUAUGGGACAGAAGUCUGGAAAUGUCCCUGCUACUUGAGAUAUUCUGAGGCGGUCAAUGUCCAAGUCACUUUGAUGAAAAUUUGAAUUUAAAGUGGUGGUAAGAAAACGCAAAAAAAAAUAAAAGAAAGACAGAAAAAGUCAAGAAAAAGAAUAAAAAGUUAAAACUGAGCAGAAUCGAUUGAACAGCUAAAAUGGGAUCUGUAUGGGCACUGUUGGCCUACUAGUCUUGGUCUUAUAUCUUCAGAGCCUGUCGCAGCAGUCCCUGGUUUCCUUUACUCUCACUAACUUUUGUUUUUUCUUUAGUUUUUAGUUUCUUUUGCCAGGAAAUGAUGUGACUCGUCUUUGUAAACAUCACCAGUCAAACAGUGACUAUAGGCAUUCCAUUGCAUUGCAGGACUUUGAGUGUAUAAGCUGCUAAUUUCAAGACCAAAACUUUUAUAAACUGUCAUUGUUUUAACACUUUGUCAAUGUGAGGAACUCUCAUAAGAAAGUCUGAGUGAAGACACACAAUAUGGCAGCAGAGUAAAAAAAACACCCAACAAUGUGCCAAAACACUCCUCCAAUCUGACACAGUAGAUUUAUCUCCAGGUAGAAGAAAACACUCAUUAAUAUUUAUAAACUGGAAAAGCUUCAGCUACUGUCAGUACCUGAACACACCCUCACCAAAGGAGAACAAAGUUUGAUGCUUUACAUCAAACCAGAUUUCUGCUGAGUCACUCUGCCACUCAAACAGGCCCAGUGUGCUAGCUAACAGGCUAACAAGUACAACCAAAACACAGCAGCUAAAAGAAACAUAACCAAGCUGUUAAAAAGACAAAGAAGAGACAAAACAUCUUACCCAUGUUGUUAGAGGACAGACAAAACAAUCCCUGAAAAGACUCCACAUUGAAAUGCACACCAUUUGAAAUUUCCCACAAAACGGUUUGACUUCCUGUAAAGUGUGGCCAAACAGGAAAUGCCAACCAAACAAGUAACCAAAAUAAAGUUUCACAGCGGCCAUUUUUUUUUCAUAACACAAAACGGGUAAAAAUACUUUUUUUACAGCGAAAUAUUGAUGUUUACCCAAAAAUUUUUCCAAAUAGAAACCUAAGCUGUUAAAAAGACAAAGAAGAGACAAAACAUCUUACCCAUGUUGUUGGAGGACAGACAAAACAAUCCCUGAAAAGACCCCACAUUGAAAUGCACACCAUCUUGAAAUUUCCCAGAAAGCUGUUUGACUUCCUGUAUGGUGUAGCCAAACAGGAAGUGCCAACCAAACAAGUAACCAAAAUAAAGUUUCACAGCUGCCAUUUUUUUUAUAUAACAUAAAACAGAGGAUAUACUUUUAUUUACAGUUAAAUAUCAAUGUAUACUCUGAAAUUGUUUGAAAAAGAAAACAAAUUAGGAUUGUAAUUUGUCUUUUUAUGGUAAAAUGUACACCCUUUAUUGCCUUUUGUAUCAUAUUUGAUAAGUACUUUUAUAUACUAUAAAAAAAAUGUGAAUUUUUGUGAAUAAUUUGUGGUUUCAGGCAUUAAAGAGCUACUAUGGUCACCCUAUGCAGACAUAUAUCUAUAUCUUAAAAUCUUUUGGUUUUUUUAUAGUAAAAUUUACAACAUUUUGAGCUUCAUUAACUACGUUAUUAACUACAGAAGCCCUGAAUGGACAUGUUUCCAUUUUUUCUUCAUAAUAAGAAACUUACUUUUUCCCCCCUCUUGUACCACUGUAACCUGUGCUUUAAGUGUUAAAAAUCGGUGCAGUUACCCCCAUUAUUCACUCACGGAUGUAUUUAUCAUAUAUCAGUAUUUGUAUAUUGGGGUUUAAUUAACACACAAACAAAUAAGAACAAAUAAGGUGCUCACCAGCAUCAGUAUUUACACUCAAACUUUAUUUUAUCAGUCAGAACUUUGCCCAAAAUGUAGAACUGUUCACAGCUACAUUCUUUACAGCAUGUCUGAGCUCAGGCAUGAAAAGUUCCUACAGACAGGCAAAUUAUCACAUUUUUCUUCAUCUGCAUUUUUCUUCUGUUGUCCGGCAUUAGUCACUCUAAUGUUUCAGUACCUGUCAGAGUGAAUCUUUACAACACAAACUAAGUCUGUUUCUAUUCACGUCAGGGGAAUUCAAUAAGACAAGGUGGUGAAUUUAGAUCCAGCAAUAAAUCACCAUAUGGGCUUGGAUCAACCACAUCUAAUACAUCAUCCUAUCUCGCCUGAAUACGAACCAUUUGUGUGGAGUUUAACUGGAGACAUGCUGUAGGAGAUCGGUUUAGUUCUGUGGAUGCAGCAAGAACAAGGAUCGCUGUAACUGAUAGCUCUAUUUUAAAGACAAAGAGUGAGUGAAAACCAAAGAAUGAGGUGUGUUCCUAACUCUUUUUUUAAGUAAAAGUAGUUGCAAAGGAUGCAUGUUUACAGUAUCUGUAAAGACAUUAAAACCACUGUAUGAGUUAAAACUCAAACUACAAAAGUAGCAUGCUGCUGCUAACAAACAAGCUAGCAAAUGCAAAUUCCCAAAAAGCUUUCUUUAUUUAUUUUGGUGACAUUUGUUGAAAAUAAUCACAAACUAGCAUCUUUCAUCUAAAAUGAGCAUGAAUGUGUUAACUAUGUAGGAUUAACUUCUUUCGCCAUGCUAGCUAAAUUGUUUUAUUGCUAGCUUAAUGGCUAAUUAGACCAUUUAAGUAUUCAACUCUAUUUAAAUGGAAGAUGUAUUGCCAGGAAACUUGUGAUGGACUCUUUUUGACCUCAGAGGGUGGACUCUUGAGAUUUGCAACAAAAGGAUCAAAGAGGGCACCAGGGAGGGCAGUAACCCCGCUUGCCCCCCUUUGAAUACACCACUGUUGACGUUAACUCUUGGCUGUGUCCAUAAUUGAUCCCUUACCCCUAUAUAGGCGACUAUAUGGGGGUUAGCGCCAUUUUGAGGGGUGUCCGAAACCUGAAUGAUCAAUUCCAGUGCCCCAUAUAGGCGACUCAAAUUUCCCAUAGAGCAUUGCAAAAUGUAGUGACCAUUGGAUGGUCACUCAACGGUGGUGGGCAUCCCAUCAUGCAUUCCAUCUUGCCAUGUACAUUGCCAUGUAGUGUCCGAAACCUCUGGUGAUUGAGCUUACUACAUAGUCAGCUAUAUAGUGAAACCCCAUAUGGGGGCAGGGGUUAGGGAUUGAGUGAUUCAUUUUGGACACAGCCUUGUUGUUUAAAUUGGGUUUUUUUUUGGCACAAAUAUAAUCCUUUCAGAGUGAGUUUAAGCGAAUUCAAUGAUUCCUUGACUUUUUAUCUUGCACUGUUGCUAUGCCAGCAUAGCAUAGCCGUUAGCAUAAAUUAGCAAGCUAGCUGUUUAGAGGAUUUUUUUUCGCUUGUAUUCCAGUGGGCUAAGGCCCUCAGUUUGACAAAGUCCAUAACAACAUGUCUCCCCUUUGAUCUCUCUGCAUUGGCGAGUAUUGGAGCGUUUCAGCAAUACAUGAAAACAAAUGAACACAAUCAAACUGAAGAAGUACAUGACAACAAACAUGAUUCUUCCUCUGAUCCUGCAGGUCAAAUUAAAGCCUUGUGUGGCCUUGUUGUACAGUGACCUCUGACCGUCACGCUGAAGAAGAAACCCCAAAUACAGCAACAGAAACACGCAACAAAGAAAUCCUUCAAUCCCCAACGUACCUCCCAGGUUCAUAAACACGGCUAGUCAAUCAGCCCGGACGCUAACUCUUAUUUUCAAAAGGAAGUGACUUUCACAAACGAGCAGCUGUAUUUUCCAUUGUUACAUUCUGUUGUGGUUAGAGAUCCCCACACUAUUAAAGUGGAAUCACCUUAACCCAGUUGGACCAGCUUUUGUCACAGCUCAGGGCUUUUCUACAAGAACGAUUGGUGGGGUUUUGUAUACACUCAUGCUCGACUGCCCGCAUUAUCUUUGCUUCACGUGUUCCCCCCUCGAGUUUGUUCAGGGUCUGUAACAAAGAAAGUAGCUUAUUAUCACCCACCGGAGGAGUUGUCUGCACAUGUACGUUCUGGUAAUUGCCGCCGCUUAACAAGCAGACUGAAUUGGACUUGACAUUGAGCCAUUAUUAGGAAAUGAAAUGCUGUUUUUGCAAUUAUGGGAGUUUGGCAGGGCCCAGUGAGUAUCUCCCGGAAGAGUCAUGAAAUGGAAAUAUCCCCAAAGACAACUGCAGCUUGAGAUGUUUGAAGUGUGCAACAGGAUUUCUGUUGAACUGUUUGAAUAAAUGAUGAUUUUGCGCUAUUUUUCUCAUUUAGGUUUCUUGGUUGUCAAAGCAGACUCCUCUCUGCCUCUUUGUUGCUACAUGUUAAUUUGUUGAAUGCUCAGAAUCACAUCCUACUAGAUAGACAUGCCAAAUAUUCAUGACAUGGUAUCCGAAAAAGUUCUACAAAUGCACCUUGUGGAUUUCCAAAACCAAAAAAAUAGAUAAAUAUUUGAGAACCACAUUCUGAAAAUGGACAAGCAAGCGGAAAAUACCAUCACAUUGACAGCAAAGCAUUAGGGCCUGUGUCCACUAACAGCAUCUAUUAUUAUCUAUGUUUAUUUUAUUUAUUUGAGUUUAGUUUUUCAGUGGUGGUACCUACUUCCUGUUAAAAAAAAACAAUCUGGUUUAAGGUUCAACAUUUCUAGUGCAAAAGUGUCAUGAGUGGACACAGGCCCUGAUGCAGACAGCACAGAUUAAGUUAUGUUCAAAAGCAUGCAAUGAAAAAAACAUGUCAAACAAGCAAUCAAAAAGCAUGAAUUUAAGAAAAAAGGAAGUAUACAAAACAAUGUAGAAGUGUCACAAGAAAACUUUUAUAACCUGGUGACAGAAGGCACUGACGGGAAGUGCUCUGGUAGAUGCUGUCAGUGGAAACAGGCCCUAAAAGUCCUUUCUUGUCCUCAAGGGAAUGUUUUUAAUUAGUGGGAAAAGAAAGAUCCCUAAACUGGCGCUUGUAGUUGCUCAAGUGUUUUGACCUAAAACAGCAGAAAACAAGAUGGUAUGCUUAAAACUGCUACUCAAGAUUAUGCAAGAUACUUGUGUGUGAAUUUUCUUCUUUAUUCCUCUUUUGCCCGCAAUGAUUUGGUUUGCGUUUGCAUCUAUGAAUCUUGCUCGAUUUUAUUCCUUUUGUAUUUUUCUCACAGAAAAUUGACUUUUUAACCUUUUCCUUUAUUUCUAUAGAAUAUAUGAAUUGCUUGCUUCUUUAAAUCAUGAUCCAGUAUAUCUCUCUGUCUCAAAAUGCAAAUCUUAGUUUGGUGAAAAAAAGAAAAUCUGAAAUUGUGAAAAAUAGAAAUCCAUGACAGCUAUAUGCAUUUAGCUCAAAAACUAAAACAAGAAAAUACAAAAAACCCAAAAAGCCUACAGGAAUAUGCUGACCAGAGCAUUCAUAAAUAGUCAUGGUUACAAACUGAUCCUGAAGCGCGACAUUAAAGCUCCUCUGAGAAUGAGGAGCAGCUUCACUGAGCUGAAAUGAGGCGUUUCUUACCUCCUCUCCAGCAGCAUGAUGCUAACACAACAUGGCAGCUCGGGGCAGCUCUAUGAGACUUUCUCAGCCUCACCGAGUAAUUGGUGACCCGGCACCCCACCUGACAUGGGCGAUUCGAGGAACCGGUCCCAGAAAAGCAAACAGGGUCAAUCCUACGUGGGAGUGUCGUAUGUUCACAUUUAAAGAGCAUGUGACAAAGAAAAGCAGUCAGACCCUCAGACGUAUGGAGACAGUGGUUGGUUUGGCUUAGACUUCAGACCCUUUAUACUGCUGAGAGAUAGCGGAGGAUUACUGUCAGAUUACACAUUUUUAAAGCAGGUUAACAUGCUCAGAAACAGGGCAACUUUUGUCUGAUUGAUGUAUUUAUUUUAUCUACAUAUUUAAAUGAAUAUUUAUCCCCAAAACUCUUUGGAUGUUGCAGAAAAGCCACCAGUAAUGGCAGAGAGUUACCAGUACAAAGACUUUUAUCUACUCACAAUGAGCGUUAAGAGAUAGUACAACAAAAGGGUUUAAGUAAAUUUGUAAUAAAUUACACAAUAGACAGUCAAAAGUCUUUAGGAUGACAUUUGUUUAACUACCUAAGCACAUAAAGGAUAAAAAAAUAAAGACUGCUUUGUCCACAGGGGGCGCCAAAACUGACUUAGACCAAAAGUUCCUCACGGGAGCUUUAAGUCUAAAAAAUUUACAAGAAUGGAGUUGUAACCACAUAAGAGAAAACCGUAGUUCUAUGAGGAAGAACAUAGGUUGAAGUGACACAUUGGAGGAUGUCAGGAGGGCAGCCAUGCUUGCUCAAAAAAUUAGGAUCAUCUUGUGAAGUUACACUCAAAAGCUGAAGACAAACUAGUUGCAAAACUAAGUAAGUAAACAAGUAAAAUCAAAAUUACAUUUACAAAAACUAGUAAAUCAAACUGAGAAAAACAACUUUAGAGCUAGACGGAUUAGUUUUGAGGAGCUUCUCGGAGCAGGAUACAGGUUCAGAGGAUCUAAAGGACUGCGGGAGCUGACUCCAGAGGAAGGGGGUUAGUAUACAGCAACUGCACUGUCACCUUCUGUGUUGCACUUUAAGCAGAGGACAGAAAGAAGGCCAAGGUUAAAUGAUCGGCGUGGAACAAGGUGGUCAAGACUGUGCGUGUGUGUGUGAUGAACAGGAUUUUAAAUUUAAGAGGAAGCCAAUAGCGAGACAGGAGAGAAUUUUCGAGUAAAUUCCUGUAAAUUUACGACUGUAUUUUUGUCAUGUUAAAACUUUAUUUUUACAGAUUUCCACAAAUUUACAACUUUCUUCCCCAAAUCUCUUUUUUUCUGCCUCCUCUGGUGUAAAUAUGACAUUAAAGUGACUAAAAUUUAACCACUUAAAUGUAAAAAUAAGCAGCACAGUAGGGAAAUUCAUAGUAGUAUCCCUAAAGUGGUCUUAAAAACUUUUCAAAAGACCAAUUUAAAAUGAAGUAUCAUGACUUAAUCCUGUAUUUGGUAUGUUCUGUAUUUUCAUGAGAUGUUAUCUGACAGAUGGAGGCUGAUAAGCGAGUAUUUGGAGUUUCUACUGUACAGACUGAGGUCUCUCUGCUCUGCUGUUUGCCUCACUGACUUUGAUGCCACAUCAUGUGUUUGUGUUUCAGAAAUCCCCAGAGAAGCCCGCUCGGUAUUUUCUUCACCUGCUUGUCAUGGGUCAACUCGCUCACUAAGCCGACUUUCUCUACAUUUCUGUACAAGUAUUCUUCGACCUUUAUGCUGGGUGUAAUUUAAUUUUCCCAUGCUGCUUUCAUGACCUGACAUAAAAAAAGCUGUUUUGUUUAUGGGAUUUGGUACUGCAGUGGACCCUGAGGCUUGUGGUGCUCUUCUACUCCUUACUCCUUUUUUUACUGCUUUUCUUAGAGCAAUCUUUUGU